UCCUGUCUGAAUAUGGGGGGACCAUCCUCCAAGGCUAAAUACUCCUGACUGACCGAUAGUGAACCAGUACCGUGAGGGAAAGGCGAAAAGAACCCCGGCGAGGGGAGUGAAAAAGAACCUGAAACCGUGUACGUACAAGCAGUGGGAGCACCCUUUGGGGUGUGACUGCGUACCUUUUGUAUAAUGGGUCAGCGACUUAUAUUCUGUAGCAAGGUUAACCGAAUAGGGGAGCCGGAGGGAAACCGAGUCUUAACCGGGCGUUAAGUUGCAGGGUAUAGACCCGAAACCCGGUGAUCUAGCCAUGGGCAGGUUGAAGGUUGGGUAACACUAACUGGAGGACCGAACCGACUAAUGUUGAAAAAUUAGCGGAUGACCUGUGGCUGGGGGUGAAAGGCCAAUCAAACCGGGAGAUAGCUGGUUCUCCCCGAAAGCUAUUUAGGUAGCGCCUCGUGAAUUCAUCUCCGGGGGUAGAGCACUGUUUCGGCUAGGGGGCCAUCCCGGCUUACCAACCCGAUGCAAACUGCGAAUACCGGAGAAUGUUAUCACGGGAGACACACGGCGGGUGCUAACGUCCGUCGUGAAGAGGGAAACAACCCAGACCGCCAGCUAAGGUCCCAAAGUCAUGGUUAAGUGGGAAACGAUGUGGGAAGGCCCAGACAGCCAGGAUGUUGGCUUAGAAGCAGCCAUCAUUUAAAGAAAGCGUAAUAGCUCACUGGUCGAGUCGGCCUGCGCGGAAGAUGUAACGGGGCUAAACCAU
rnacentral:rRNA from 1 species